rnacentral:rRNA from 1 species
UACGUAGGGUGCAAGCGUUGUCCGGAAUUAUUGGGCGUAAAGAGCUCGUAGGCGGUCUGUCACGUCGGCUGUGAAAACCCGAGGCUCAACCUCGGGCCUGCAGUCGAUACGGGCAGACUAGAGUUCGGUAGGGGAGACUGGAAUUCCUGGUGUAGCGGUGAAAUGCGCAGAUAUCAGGAGGAACACCGGUGGCGAAGGCGGGUCUCUGGGCCGACACUGACGCUGAGGCGCGAAAGCAUGGGGAGCGAACAGG